GAGACAUUACGGGAGGCAGCAGCAGGGAAUAUUGCGCAAUGGGCGAAAGCCUGACGCAGUAACGCCGCGUGGGGGAUGACGGCCUUCGGGUUGUAAACCCCUUUCAGCAGGGACGAAAUUGACGGUACCUGCAGAAGAAGCACCGGCCAACUACGUGCCAGCAGCCGCGGUAACACGUAGGGUGCGAGCGUUGUCCGGAUUCAUUGGGCGUAAAGGGCUAGUAGGCGGCUUAGCAAGUCGGGUGUGAAAACUUCAGGCUCAACCUGGAGCGGCCAUCCGAUACUGCUAUGGCUAGAGUCCGGUAGGGGACCACGGAAUUCCUGGUGUAGCGGUGAAAUGCGCAGAUAUCAGGAGGAACACCGAUAGCGAAGGCAGUGGUCUGGGCCGGAACUGACGCUGAAUAGCGAAAGCGUGGGUAGCGAACAGGAUUAGAUACCCUGGUAGUCCACGCCGUAAACGUUGGGCACUAGGUGUGGGGAGUUAUCAACGCUCUCCGUGCCGUAGCUAACGCAUUAAGUGCCCCGCCUGGGGAGUACGACCGCAAGGCUGAAACUCAAAGGAAUUG
rnacentral:rRNA from 1 species